AUGUAACAACUCCAGUCGACUAUCUGGCAGAGAGAGACAUUAAACGCAACCAGUAAAAAUUGUCGAAAUGUACUGCUGGUUAAAGUGUACAGUGGUUUCGAAAUGUACUGCUGGUUAGAGUGUACUGUGGUGUCAAAAUUUACUGCUGGUUAGAUUGUACUGAAGUGUCGAAAUGUACUGCUGGUUAGAGUGUACUGUAGUGUCGAAAUGUACUGUAGUGUCGAAAUGUACUGCUGGUUAGUGUACUGUAGUGCGGAUUGCAUCGUCAAUCAACAGAAUUUAACUAUAACGACAGUAUUGGUGCCUUAAGCUGAAUUUGUUUUCAAAAGAUACAUGUACUGCAAAUUGCAAUGUCAUGUACCGUGUUCACUAUUAAGGACUUGCACACUUCAGCAGUACAAUUACACUUGCUAUAUUGAAUUUUGAUGUACAGUGUACAGUGUACGCACCCGUAAAGUACAAUUUUAUUUACUUUAUUGUAAGUACUUAAAUACAUUUUAGAGAAAAUUUAUUAAACAAAGGGAAGGAAAAAUCAAUUGUCUUCUUCCAAAUCUUUUAGUUUUUUUUUAUAUUAUUAUUUUGUUAUUUGUAUAUACUAAUGUGACAACAGAGUUCUGAUUUAAAUGUGUUAAAAGUAUUUUAUUUUGUAUAUUUUAAUCAAAAUUGUAUUAUGUUAUUUUACCUCUUCUUGGAUUUAGCCACGAUAAUAUUCUAGCAUAAUAGAAGAAACAAUUGACUACCAUAUUUUUUAGAAAAUAGUUUAAAACGUAUUUUUUUACAACAAAUGUCCCUAAACAAUUUAUAAUUUUGUAACAAUGUUUGUAAUUCGAGUAUUUUUACAUUCAAAGUUUUACAAUUUUUAACACCUGCUACAUUUUUUGUAUCACCUUUGCGAUAAAAUGUAUCAGUUUAAUAUGCUGUGAUGAAAAAUAUUGUAUUUUGUUAUUGUAAAAAACAUUUGUAAAUUAAUACUGCUAUACUUGAGCUGUUUAAAGGACACCGUUGUGAAUUAGUCUUACAGCUAGGUGAUGCGCAUACAAUGGUUCUUUUAGGUGUUAUAAAUCUGUCACUUUUUUGUAAACAGUGAAACUUUAAUAUUUUUGUGAAUUUGUUAAAUAUAUUUAAAUCCACAUGAAUUAAUGCAGACAAUCAACUAUAUUUUCAUAUAUUUUCUCGCUGUAAUUUAUAAACAUAAAAUAACAAUUUCGAA